GGAGGCAUAGCUUAGAGGUAGAGCGUCUGCUUGGCAUGCAGAAGGUUCCAAGUUCAAUCCCUGGUGUCUCCA